CUAGAGAACCUUGGCUAACUGUUUGGUGGUUUCAUGUGUUUGAAACUAUAGGUUUCUAAAUUUGCAUGACAGACUUUAAGAAAGUCAUGUUGAAGAUAAAGGACUGGCAGACUGUCAACAAGGUACGCUACCUUGUUUGGUAACCUUGAAUUGGCUUGGCUGCUUCCCUUGAAUCUCCCUUUUUACUUCCUUAAGCUUGAUAUGAGGGUAACUCGGUAACUCCUUUGCUACUUAUCAUGGACUUCAUCCAUUGGUGAUGCUGUAAUUCAAGAGAAUGCUGUUAUUCAAGACUGAUAAAUUGUUUAGUUGCUUGAUGAAACAAGUGCAUAUCUGGGUUCCCUCGCUAACCAUUGGUCGUGUAAUCACCCUGGCUGCAGUCAAUUAAGGCAGUCUCCCCCUGUCUUGAUUGACUGUAUGUGCGAGUUUCAAAAGCAGUUUAUCACCCAAAUGAGACAAAAGGAGUAUAUCAGUUUGUUUUAUUUGGGUAUAAAUUGUUUUACAUUUGCACAGAAUAACAUUUGUUUUGUACCGGACGGUUUGUUUAUUGAAUUACA